rnacentral:rRNA from 1 species
AUUGAACGCUGGCGGCAGGCCUAACACAUGCAAGUCGAGCGAGCGGCGGACGGGUGAGUAAUGUAUGGGAAUUGCCGGUAAGGGGGGGAAACUAAUGGAAACGGUAGGUAAUACCGCCUACAAUGGAUAACCCAAAUGGGAUUAGCAAGUAGGUGAGGUAAUGGCUCACCUAGGCGACGAACCCUAGCUGGUCUGAGAGGAUGAUCGGCCACACUUGGACUGAGACACGGCCCAGACUCCUACGGAGGCAGCAGUGGGGAAUAUUGCACAAUGGGCGCAAGCCUGAUGCAGCCAUGCCGCGUGUAUGAAGAAGGCCCUAGGGUUGUAAAGUACUUUCAGUCGGGAGGCGUUACCGACAGAAGAAGCACCGGCUAACUCCGUGCCAGCAGCCGCGGUAAUUC